GACGAACGCUGGCGGCGUGCUUAACACAUGCAAGUCGAACGGAAAGGCCCUGCUCUUGUGGGGUGCUCGAGUGGCGAACGGGGGAGUAACACGUGAGUAACCUGCCCCUGACUUUGGGAUAACUUCACGAAACUGGGGCGAAUACAGGAUAGGAGCUCCUGCAGCACGGGGGGGGUUGGUGAGAUUCGGCGGUUGGGGAUGGACUCGCGGGUUAUGGGCCUGAUGGGGGGGUAGGGGCUUACAAAGGUUUUGACGGGUAGCCGGCCUGGGAGGGUGGCCGGCCACCUUGGGCCUGCGGUACGGCCCAGUCUCCUACGUUAGGCAGCAGUGGGGAAUAUUGCAGAGUGGGCCGGAGUCUGAUGCGGCGGCGCCCCGUUCGUGAUGCCCGCCUUCGGGUUGUAAACCACUUUCGCCUGUGACGAAGCGUGAGUGACGGUACUGAGUAAAGAAGCCCCGGCUAACUACGUG
rnacentral:rRNA from 1 species